ensembl:snoRNA
AAGGCUGAGUCAAGGCCAGCAGUUCUCUGGAAGCUGUUGGUUUCAAGCACGAGCCUACAGUGGUAUCUUUCUAUUGUCUGUCGGCCAUUUCAGAACUUUAGAAAUGUAACAGUAGGGCUGGGGAUUUAGCU